rnacentral:rRNA from 1 species
CGUAACUUUGCCCGACGCUCGACGCAACGGCAAAGCGACGUACGCCCAACGGAAGCGGAGGCCGAGGCCACGAACCACAAAACCAGGCCAUCGCCCCCAACAACAAACGUGCGAAGCUACCAGAAAACAGAAGCAAACGCGCAAGGACAAGCAAGUGGCCUCCCAUUUGUUCCUCGUCGCCUCCGCUUUCCCAACCCCCACUGCCCCCCAGCCAAAUCCACCGCCGGAUUCCGCUGCCGCGCCGCCGAUCCCUCCACCGUCCAUGGCGAUCGGGCCCGGCAGCCGACUCCCCGACCUCCCAUUCUCCCGAUUCGGAAUUUGAUAAGGUUUAGCGGCCUCUCCGCCUCCCGCAGCUCGAUUGCUGAUUUGGUCGGGGGGAGGGAAUCUUCUGCGGCUGCCGCUUCUGCUGAAUUGCUCUCUGGGCGGGCGGGGGUAGGGAGGGAUGGGGAUGCUGUUCCUGGAGUACCUCCCGGGGCCCAAGGUGUUCAAGUGCAAGUUCUGCAGGGUUGACUCGGCGUCGCCUGACGACAUCGUGUCCAAGGAGUUCCGUGGCCGCCACGGCCGCGCCUACCUCUUUGAUAGCGUGUGAGCUGAGCCAUCUCUCUCUCUUCACCUUCUUCUGUUUUGCUGUUUUCCGCGCGUGGAUCGUGCGAUCAUUGCAAUGCCGCUGUUCUAGAAAUGCUUUUCAGUUGCUGGCAUUACGAGAUAGCAGUAGUUAAGUCGUGGCGUGCCAAGUUAUAUGCAUUGCUGGUAACAACACUGAUUUAAGUUCGGCAUAGUUGCAAGAUUAUUGUUUUGUACUAGUAAUGUUGUUUCCUUGGGGUUUUGCUUGUGAUUUUGGGUGAAAAAUUAUGAUUGUUAUUAGUACUAAUUAUGAGUGCAAGAAUGUGAUGAUGGAUCCGAUAUGGUUAUGUUUGAUUUGAGCAGCAUUGAAUCCUCUGAAUCAUGAUGAAUAUGAAUCAAACGAGUUCUGGCACCCUAUCUCGAAAGGUAAUAAAUGAGUUUGGUAAUCAACCCGGGCAAAAUUGUAUGUAUUGUUACAGACCUUAUGGUCAACCUGGUGAGCUAUGUCGAUCUUAGGCUAGAGAGUUAAAAUUUGGAGGCUAAGUAGCCUAAAUUGCACAGUUGAUGUCACUUGAUUUACAAGAUCAUGCUUUACUACCAAUGGAGAUAUGCAACUCAAUCUAUGAAGUGAGAGAGCUUGAUCAGGACCAGUUGUUUCUGAAUAUGAAUUGCUUCUUAGCCCAUUUUCAUCUUUAUGUUGCUGACCAACUAUCAAAAGUUAACUUCACGGAGAGCUCACAUUUUGUGAAUUCAGUAGACCUGCUAAUGAAGUAUCCUUGACUUUCUUCAUUGGCCCAAAUAUUGAGUUACUUUCAAUAAAUUAUGUAAUGAGGCAACAGUUCCAUAUUAUCUAGGAAUCAUAGAUGUCAAAUAGAAAAGUAUGGUUAUUAACAUUACAUGAACUAGUAAUUGACCAUUGAACAUCUGAACUACCAAGCUUUUGCUAAUUAUUGUUGACAUGUUAAUCUGGGCUGAAUGUGACAUCCAGGGUGAAUGUGAGCCUUGGUCCCAAUGAGGAUCGCCAUCUCUUGACUGGAUUGCAUACAGUGAACGAUAUCUACUGUAGCUGCUGCCAACGACUCCUUGGCUGGAAAUAUGCGAAAGCCUACAACGAAGACCAGAAGUACAAAGAAGGAAAGUUCAUACUAGAGAAGAACAUGAUGCUGAAAGAAGGACGUUAGCUGGCGGGAAAUGAUGGUCUGCUGUCAAAGUCUGCAAAAGCAGACAUUCGCAACUGCGAACUGUAGCCAAAGAUUCGUCUACUAGUUUCCUGAAAAUAUUGAUUAUUCUGGUGACGGCCAUCACCACGAAAAUGCAUUUGUGAAAUCUGUUGCCCUAUUACGUUUGCUCGGCUGGCCUCUGAAAUGUACUCUGUUACCAGUUUUUCUUGAUUCAACCGUGGAGGUUCACAGAUGUCAGGUU